rnacentral:lncRNA from 1 species
UUAGUUCUAAGUGAAUUCCCUCGGUAUGAUAAUUUGUUCAUCAGUUUGUUCCCCGUUUCUUCUCUAGCCUGAGCCUGACACACUAUUCUAGCUAGACAUGGGUGUGGCUCGUAACACCUGAUGACCAAACGGAUCUACGACACCAUCGAAUCUCAAACUUUAACUACCAAAACUAUUGUUUUUCAUCCUCUAGUCCCUUUUAGAAUUACUAAACGUCCUUUUUUGGGCCGAGAUUUCCAGGAACGCUUUCUCGGGGUUUGUGUGCAUGUAUUUCAAACCAUACAGACCUAAAAAUUAGAAGUCAUUCCAUCUUUAUUCCCGUAGAGCCUUCCAGCAGUUCCUAAACCGCUCCAGUCGGAGCAUGUUAUCAUUCUUGUUUGUUCUGAGUGAAUUCCCUCGGUAUGAUAAUUCUAUCAUCAGUUUGUUCCCCGUUUCUUCUCUAGCCUGAGCCUGGCAAACUAUUCNNNNNNNNNNNNNNNNNNNNNNNNNNNNNNNNNNNNNNNNNNNNNNNNNNNNNNNNNNNNNNNNNNNNNNNNNNNNNNNNNNNNNNNNNNNNNNNNNNNNNNNNNNNNNNNNNNNNNNNNNNNNNNNNNNNNNNNNCUAAACCGCUCUAGUCGGAGCACGUUAUCAUUCUUGUUAGUUCUGAGUGAAUUCCCUCGGUAUGAUAAUUCUUUCAUCAGUUUGUUCCCUGUUUCUUCUCUAGCCUGAGCCUGACACACUAUUCUAGCUAGACAUGGGUGUGGCUCGUAACACCUAAUGACCAAACGGAUCGACGGCACCAUCGAAUCUCAAACUUUAACUGCCAAAACUAUUGUUUUUCAUCCUGUUGUCCCAUUUAGAAUUACUAAACGUCCUUUUUUGGGCCGAGAUUUAGAGGAACGCUUUCUCGGGGUUUGUGUGCAAGUAUUUCAAACCAUACGGACCUAAAAAUUAGAAGUCAUUCCAUCUUUAUUCCCCUAGAGCCUUCCAGCAGUUCCUAAACCGCUCAAGUCAGAGCAUGUUAUCAUUCUUGUUAGUUCUGAGUGAAUUCCCUCGGUAUGAUAAUUCUUUCAUCAGUUUGUUCCCUGUUUCUUCUCUAGCCUGAGCCUGACACACUAUUCUAGCUAGACAUGGGUGUGGCUCGUAACACCUGAUGACCAAACGGAUCUACGACACCAUUGAAUCUCAAACUUUAACUACCAAAACUAUUAUUUUUCAUCCUGUAGUCCCUUUUAGAAUUACUAAACGUCCUUUUUUGGGCCGAGAUUUCCAAGAACGCUUUCUCGUGGUUUGUGUGCAAGUAUUUCAAACCAUACAGACCUAAAAAUUAGAAGUCAUUCCAUCUUUAUGCCCGUAGAGCCUUCCAGCAGUUCCUAAACCGCUCCAGUCGGAGCACGUUAUCAUUCUUAUUAGUUCUGAGUGAAUUCCCUCAGUAUGAUAAUUCUUUCAUAAGUUUGUUCCCCAUUUCUUCUCUAGCCUGAGCCUGGCACACUAUUCUAGCUAGACAUGGGUGUGGCUCAUAACACUUGUUGACUAAAUGGAUCGACGGCACCAUCGAAUCUCAAACUUUAACUGCCAAAACUAUUGUUUUUCAUCCUGUAGUCCCAUUUAGAAUUAUUAAACGUCCUUUUUUGGGCCGAUAUUUAGAGUAAUGCUUUCUCGGGGUUUGUCUGCAAGUAUUUCAAACCAUACGGACCUAAAAAUUAGAAGUCAUUCCAUCUUUAUUCCCCUAGAGCCUUCCAGCAGUUCCUAAACCGCUCUAGUCGGAGCACGUUAUCAUUCUUGUUAGUUCUGAGUGAAUUCCCUCAGUAUGAUAAUUCUUUCAUCUGUUUGUUCCCCGUUUCUUCUCUAGCCUGAGCCUGACACACUAUUCAAGCUAGACAUGGAUGUGGCUCGUAACACCUGAUGACCAAACGGAUCUACGGCACCAUCGAAUCCCAAACUUUAACUGCCAAAACUAUUGUUUUUCAUCCUGUAGUCCCUUUUAGAAUUACUAAACGUCCUUUUUUGGGCCGAGAUUUCCAGGAAUGCUUUCUCGGGGUUUGUGUGCAAGUAUUUCAAACCAUACAAAGCUAGAAAUUAGAAGUCAUUCCAUCUUUAUUAUCGUAGAGCCUUCCAGCAGUUCCUAAACCGGUCUAGUCGGAGCACGUUAUCAUUCUAGUUAGUUCUGAGUGAAUUCCCUCGGUAUGAUAAUUCUUUCAUCAGUUUGUUCCCCGUUUCUUCUCUAGCCUGAGCCUGACAAACUAUUCUAGCUAGACAUGCGUGUGGCUCGUAACACCUGAUGACCAAACGGAUCUAUAGCACCAUCGAAUCUCAAACUUUAACUGCCAAAACUAUUGUUUUCAUCCUGUAGUCCCUUUUAGAAUUACUAAACUUCCUUUUUUGGGCCGAGAUUUAGAGGAACGCUUUCUGGGGUUUGUGUGCAAGUAUUUCAAACCAUACAGACCUAAAAAUUAGAAGUCAUUCCAUCUUUAUUCCCCUAGAGCCUUCCAGCAGUUCCUAAACCGCUCUAGUCGGAGCACGUUAUCAUUAUUGUUAGUUCUGAGUGAAUUCCCUCGGUAUGAUAAUUCUUUCAUCAGUUUGUUCCCUGUUUCUUCUCUAUCCUGAGCCUGACACACUAUUCUAGCUAGACAUGGGUGUGGCUCGUAACACCUGAUGACUAAAUGGAUCGACGGCACCAUCGAAUCUCAAACUUUAACUGCCAAAACUAUUGUUUUUCAUCCUGUAGUCCCAUUUAGAAUUAGUAAACGUCCUUUUUUGGGCCGAGAUUUAGAGGAACGCUUUCUCGGGGUUUGUGUGCAAGUAUUUCAAACCAUACGGACCUAAAAAUUAGAAGUCAUUCCAUCUUUAUUCCCCUAGUCAUCAGGUAUACACUCAAGUCGGAGCACGUUAUCAUUCUUGUUAGUUCUGAGUGAAUUCCCUCGGUAUGAUAAUUCUUUCAUAAAUUUGUUCCCCGUUUCUUAUAUGGCCUGAGCCUGACACACUAUUCUAGCUAGACAUGGGUGUGGCUCGUAACACCUGAUGACCAAACGGAUCUACGGCACCAUCAAAUCUCAAACUUUAACUGCCAAAACUAUUCUUUUUCAUUCUGUAGUCCCUUCUAGAAUUACUAAACGUCCUUUUUUGGGCCGAGAUUUCCAGGAACGCUUUCUCGGGGUUUGUGUGCAUGUAUUUCAAACCAUACAGACCUAAAAAUUAUAAGUCAUUCCAUCUUUAUUCCCGUAGAGCCUUCCAGUAGUUCCUAAACCGCUCCAGUCGGAGCAUGUUAUCAUUCUUGUUAGUUCUAAGUGAAUUCCCUCGGUAUGAUAAUUCUUUCAUCAGUUUGUUCCCCGUUUCUUCUCUAGCCUGAGCCUGGCACACUAGUCUAGCUAGACAUGGGUGUGGCUCGUAACACCCGAUGACUAAAUGGAUCGACGGCACCAUCGAAUCUCAAACUUUAACUGCCAAAACUAUUGUUUUUCAUCCUGUAGUCCCAUUUAGAAUUACUAAACGUCCUUUUUUGGGCCGAGAUUUAGAGGAACGCUUUCUCGUGGUUUGUGUGCAAGAAUUUCAAACCAUACGGACCUAAAAAUUAGAAGUCAUUCCAUCUUUAUUCCCCUAGAGCCUUCCAGUAGUUCCUAAACCGCUCUAGUCGGAGCACGUUAUCAUUCUUGUUAGUUCUGAGAGAAUUCCCUCGGUAUGAUAAUUCUUUUAUCAGUUUGUUCCCCGUUUCUUCUCUAGCCUGAGCCCGACACACUAUUCUAGCUAGACAUGGGUGUGGCUCGUAACACCUGAUGACCAAACGGAUCUACGGCACCAUCGAAUCUCAAACUUUAACUGCCAAAACUAUUGUUUUUCAUCCUGUAGUCCCUUUUAGAAUUACUAAAUGUCCUUUUUUGGGCCGAGAUUUCCAGGAACGCUUUCUCAGGGUUUGUGUGCAAGUAAUUCAAACCAUACGGACCUAAAAAUUAGAAGUCAUUCCAUCUUUAUUCCCCUAGAGCCUUCCAGCAGUUCCUAAACCGCUCAAGUCAGUGCACGUUAUCAUUCUUGUUAGUUCUAAGUGAAUUCCCUCGGUAUGAUAAUUUGUUCAUCAGUUUGUUCCCCGUUUCUUCUCUAGCCUGAGCCUGACACACUAUUCUAGCUAGACAUGGGUGUGGCUCGUAACACCUGAUGACCAAACGGAUCUACGACACCAUCGAAUCUCAAACUUUAACUACCAAAACUAUUGUUUUUCAUCCUCUAGUCCCUUUUAGAAUUACUAAACGUCCUUUUUUGGGCCGAGAUUUCCAGGAACGCUUUCUCGGGGUUUGUGUGCAUGUAUUUCAAACCAUACAGACCUAAAAAUUAGAAGUCAUUCCAUCUUUAUUCCCGUAGAGCCUUCCAGCAGUUCCUAAACCGCUCCAGUCGGAGCAUGUUAUCAUUCUUGUUUGUUCUGAGUGAAUUCCCUCGGUAUGAUAAUUCUAUCAUCAGUUUGUUCCCCGUUUCUUCUCUAGCCUGAGCCUGGCAAACUAUUCUAGCUAGACAUGGGUGUGGCUCGUAACACCUGAUGACCAAACGGAUCUACGACACCAUCGAAUCUCAAACUUUAACUACCAAAACUAUUGUUUUUCAUUCUAUAGUCCCUUCUAGAAUUUCUAAACGUCCUUUUUUGGGCCGAGAUUUCCAGGAAUGCUUUCUCGGGGUUUGUGUGCAAGUAUUUCAAAUCAUACGGACCUAAAAAUUAGAAGUCAUUCCAUCUUUAUUCCCCUAGAGCCUUCCAGUAGUUCCUAAACCGCUCCAGUCGGAGCACGUUAUCAUUCUUGUUAGUUCAUAGUGAAUUCCCUCGGUAUGAUAAUUCUUUCAUCAGUUUGUUCCCCGUUUCUUCUCUAGCCUGAGCCUGGCACAGUAUUCUAGCUAGACAUGGGUGUGGUCGUAACACCUGAUGACUAAAUGGAUCGACGGCACCAUCGAAUCUCAAACUUUAACUGCCAAAACUAUUGUUUUUCAUCCUGUAAUCCCAUUUAGAAUUACUAAACGUCCUUUUUUGGGCCGAGAUUUAGAGGAACGCUUUGUUGGGGUUUGUGUGCAAGUAUUUCAAACCAUACGGACCUAAAAAUUAGAACUCAUUCCAUAUUUAUUCCCCUUGAGCCUUCCAGCAGUUCCUAAACCGCUCUAGUCGGAGCACGUUAUCAUUCUUGUUAGUUCUAAGAGAAUUCCCUCGGUAUGAUAAUUCUUUUAUCAGUUUGUUCCCCGUUUCUUCUCUAGACUGGGCCCGACACACUAUUCUAGCUAGACAUGGGUGUGGCUCGUAACACCUGAUGACCAAACGGAUCUACGGCACCAUCGAAUCUCAAACUUCAACUGCCAAAACUAUUGUUUUUCAUCCUGUAGUCCCUUUUAGAAUUACUAAACGUCCUUUUUUGGGCCGAGAUUUCCAGGAACGCUUUCUCGGGGUUUGUGUGCAAGUAUUUCAAACCAUACGGACCUAAAAAUUAGAAGUCAUUCCAUCUUUAUUCCCGUAGAGCCAUCCAGCAGUUCCUAAACCGCUCCAGUCGGAGCACGUUAUCAUUCUUGUUAGUUCUGAGUGAAUUCCCUCGGUAUGAUAAUUCUUUCAUCAGUUUGUUCCCCGUUUCUUCUCUAGCCUGAGCCUGACAAACUAUUAUAGCUAGACAUGGGUGUGGCUCGUAACACCUGAUGACCAAACGGAUCUAUGGCACCAUCGAAUCUCAAACUUUAACUGCCAAAACUAUUGUUUUUCAUCCUGUAGUCCCUUUUAGAAUUACUAAACGCCCUUCUUUGGGACGAGAUUUCCAGGAACGCUUUCUCGGGGUUUGUGUGAAAGUAAUUCAAACCAUACGGACCUAAAAAUUAGAAGUCAUUCCAUCUUUAUUCCCGUGGAGCCUUCCAGUAGUUCCUAAACCGCUCCAGUCGGAGCACGUUAUCAUUCUUGUUAGUUCUGAGUGAAUUCCCUCGGUAUGAUAAUUCUUUCAUCAGUUUGUUCCCUGUUUCUUCUCUAGCCUGAGCCUGGCACACUAUUCUAGCUAGACAUGGGUGUGGCUCGUAACACCUGAUGACUAAACUGAUCAAUGACACCAUCGAAUCUCAAACUUUAACUGCCAAAACUAUUGUUUUUCAUCCUGUAGUCCCAUUUAGAAUUACUAAACGUCCUUUUUUGGGCCGAGAUUUCCAGGAACGCUUACUCGGGGUUUGUGUGCAAGUAUUUCAAACCAUACUGACCUAAAAAUUAGAAGUCAAUCCAUCUUUAUUCCCCUAGAGCCUUCCAGCAGUUCCUAAACCGCUCCAGUCGGAGCACGUUAUCAUUCUUGUUAGUUCUGAGUGAAUUCCCUCGGUAUGAUAAUUCUUUCAUCAGUUUGUUCCUUGUUUCUUCUCUAGCCUGAACCUGACACACUAUUCUAGCUAGACAUGGGUGUGGCUCGUAACACCUGAUGACCAAACGGAUCUACGGCACCAUCGAAUCUCAAACUUUAACUGCCAAAACUAUUAUUUUUAAUCCUCUAGUCCCAUUUAGAAUUACUAAACGUCCUUUUUUGGGCCGAGAUUUAGAGGAACGCUUUCAUGCGGUUUGUGUGCAAGUAUUUCAAACCAUACGGACCUAAAAAUUAGAAGUCAUUCCAUCUUUAUUCCCCUAGAGCCUUCCAGCAGUUCCUAAACCGCUCCAGUCGGAGCAUGUUAUCAUUCUUGUUAGUUCUGAGUGAAUUCCCUCGGUAUGAUAAUUCUUUCAUCAGUUUGUGGCCCGUUUCUUCUCUAGCCUGAGCCUGACACACUAUUCUAGCUAGACGUGGGUGUGGCUCGUAACACCUGAUGACCAAACGGAUCUACGGCACCAUCGAAUCUCAAACUUUAAGUGCCAAAACUAUUAUUUUUAAUCCUGUAGUCCCAUUUAGAAUUAC